UUAAUUUGAGAGUUUGAUCCUGGCUCAGGACGAACGCUGGCGGCGUGCCUAAUACAUGCAAGUCGAACGAACUCUGGUAUUGAUUGGUGCUUGCAUCAUGAUUUACAUUUGAGUGAGUGGCGAACUGGUGAGUAACACGUGGGAAACCUGCCCAGAAGCGGGGGAUAACACCUGGAAACAGAUGCUAAUACCGCAUAACAACUUGGACCGCAUG
rnacentral:rRNA from 1 species